rnacentral:lncRNA from 1 species
GUUAUACAAAAUACCCCUUGCUCAUUAAUAAAUAAUAGUCCUCUAUUAUUUCUACUCAAUUCCAACGGAUUACCCUAAAAAUCAAAUGGCAAGUCAGUUUCAAGAAGUCUUGGUUUUCUGCUCAAUCACUCCAAGAUGCUAAGGCUUUUUGAAAUAGAUUAUAUGAAUAUUCAGGUCAGUCUGUUUUCUGCAGUGACUCAUAAUUGGGAUUCAGACAGGACCAGACUUGUCUGCUGAUGUGGUAUGGCAGGCCUGCCAGAAGGCUUGCUUUGUUUUGUUGGUUGAAAAGGAAAGAGGCAGGCGCCCAAGUCCCAAAGGGAAGCAGCUGUAGGGUAAAGGGUUAGAAUUUCAGCGGCAUUCCUUGGGCAGCCCCGUGGGUGUGGGGUUGAGUCGAUGGAGAGAACAGCUGCAGGCAGAAGCUGAAGGAACUGUUUUUAUAGGGGCCUCUGUGUGACACCCUGAGACAUGAGGAUGUGGGCAGUGCCACGAUUAUGCCCAGGAAAGAAAACCAUGUGGAUAGCUGAGAUCUUCUGUGAAGAAAGGAAAAGACAAAAGGCCGUAGAUCCAAAACUUAUAGAAAAUCAACGUUUAGAAUUUCAACUGUGGAGGAAGGACCAAAAAAAUGCAAGAAGCAGAGGACUUUCGCCCUUCCUUUGUCAUCUGUGUGUAUGAAUACGUAAUGACAUCCACCCUCCUGCAAUAUUAUCAGCCCAAGAAACAAAGGCUUGAAGUAAGACUGAAGAAGAAGAGCUGGAAAUGAAGAGUGGUGAAGCUUAAGCAACUGUGACUUUCCAAGAAAUAUUUAUGAGCUGAUUUAAAUACUAAUAAGCUGUCGCCUGACAGCAGCAGCAAGAAGAUGAAGAUACUGGAGCUCAAAGUCUCAGCUGAGCCAUGGGCUCUCUCAUAUCUAUACAAGCUGCACAGCAGAGCGGCCACAUUUUAAGCCUCCUGCUAAACAGACAUUCCAAAAUGCUGUUAAGUGAGAAAUUGACAUUUUCCCACUGAUUUUGAUUAUUUAUUUCUGCCAUAGUACUUACCAAUCAAUUUGAAUCCCAUCUUAAAAAAGUAUCUAGGGCCGAAAUGUAAAAAUUGCUU